AAUAAAACAUUUAGUGUGCGGUUCUAGACACGCCAGCAUUUAAUCAAAAAUGGACUUAAUACAAAUUCUGAACUUUCAACUCCGAUAAAUUCCUGAUAUCAAAAUUAGCAUAAAACUAUAAUCGAAUUACUUCAACCCUCCCAUAAUUUAGUCGAAGCUAAACCGAUUUUCAUGCCGAUAACUUUCUUGGUCCGAUGCAUUAACUUUGCGCCUGCUCAUUGACCAAGUGAUGCAAUUUAAAGAGCCCUUUGAAUAAUCCUGGCAUAUCGGACAUUGUGUGCAGGCCAGUUUAAGCUGAAAGCGCACCUAAGUCCCUGCGUUAAUCUGACUACAAAAGCCAUGCAGUUAAUCGGAAUCGGGCUUGCCACAGGGCACACUAAUCAAGGACACGCAUCAAUGCACCCCACCACGAGCAAUGCAGAGCCCCCAAUAGAGAGAGACAGGGAGAGAGAGAGAGAGAGAGCCGCAAUGCGUGCUGCAUGACCAGCGAAUGCGGCAAGAGCAACAAUCAGCUGGCCAGGUGAGCGGGCACGAAGGCUGGAGCUUGUGAGGUGCAGCUAGAGCCGUCUGGCAUUAAAUGGCAAAAUUUAAAUUCGU